GUAUUGUGGGGACCACCUCUCCGAGAGGUGUUUGGCAGUAGCCAGCAGCGACGGCCCGCACGCUAGUCUAGACCCCUUCGUGCACACCAUUCAGCAUCCGUCCGAGCAAGCCAUGCCGCUUUUUUCA
rnacentral:ncRNA from 1 species